rnacentral:rRNA from 1 species
GACGAACGCUGGCGGCGUGCUUAACACAUGCAAGUCGAACGGAAAGGCCCUGCUUUUGUGGGGUGCUCGUGUGGCGAAAGGGUGAGUAACACGCGAGUAACUUGCCCUUGACUUUGGGAUAACUUCAGGAAACUGGGGCUAAUACCGGAUAGGAGCUCCUGCUGCAUGGUGGGGGUUGGAAAGUUUCGGCGGUUGGGGAUGGACUCGCGGCUUAUCAGCUUGUUGGUGGGGUAGUGGCUUACCAAGGCUUUGACGGGUAGCCGACCUGAGAGGGUGACCGGCCACAUUGGGACUAAGAUAGGGCCCAGACGCCUACGGGAGGCAGCAGUGGAAAAUAUUGCGCAAUGGGCGGAAGCCUGAUGCAGCAACGCCGCGUGCGGGAUGACGGCCUUCGGGUUGUAAACCGCUUUCGCCUGUGACGAAGCGUGAGUGACGGUAAUGGGUAAGAAAGCACCGGCUAACUACGUG